rnacentral:rRNA from 1 species
AUUGAACGCUGGCGGCAGGCUUAACACAUGCAAGUCGAACGAUGAUUAUCUAGCUUGCUAGAUAUGAUUAGUGGCGGACGGGUGAGUAACAUUUAGGAAUCUGCCUAGUAGUGGGGGAUAGCUCGGGGAAACUCGAAUUAAUACCGCAUACGACCUACGGGUGAAAGGGGGCGCAAGCUCUUGCUAUUAGAUGAGCCUAAAUCAGAUUAGCUAGUUGGUGGGGUAAAGGCUCACCAAGGCGACGAUCUGUAACUGGUCUGAGAGGAUGAUCAGUCACACCGGAACUGAGACACGGUCCGGACUCCUACGGGAGGCAGCAGUGGGGAAUAUUGGACAAUGGGGGCAACCCUGAUCCAGCCAUGCCGCGUGUGUGGAGAAGGCCUUUUGGUUGUAAAGCACUUUAAGCAGGGAGGAGAGGCUAAUGGUUAAUACCCAUUAGAUUAGACGUUACCUGCAGAAUAAGCACCGGCUAACUCUGUGCCAGCAGCCGCGGUAAUACAGAGGGUGCGAGCGUUAAUCGGAAUUACUGGGCGUAAAGCGAGUGUAGGUGGCUCAUUAAGUCACAUGUGAAAUCCCCGGGCUUAACCUGGGAACUGCAUGUGAUACUGGUGGUGCUAGAAUAUGUGAGAGGGAAGUAGAAUUCCAGGUGUAGCGGUGAAAUGCGUAGAGAUCUGGAGGAAUACCGAUGGCGAAGGCAGCUUCCUGGCAUAAUAUUGACACUGAGAUUCGAAAGCGUGGGUAGCAAACAGGAUUAGAUACCCUGGUAGUCCACGCCGUAAACGAUGUCUACUAGCCGUUGGGGUCCUUGAGACUUUAGUGGCGCAGUUAACGCGAUAAGUAGACCGCCUGGGGAGUACGGCCGCAAGGUUAAAACUCAAAUGAAUUGACGGGGGCCCGCACAAGCGGUGGAGCAUGUGGUUUAAUUCGAUGCAACGCGAAGAACCUUACCUGGUCUUGACAUAGUGAGAAUCCUGCAGAGAUGCGGGAGUGCCUUCGGGAAUUCACAUACAGGUGCUGCAUGGCUGUCGUCAGCUCGUGUCGUGAGAUGUUGGGUUAAGUCCCGCAACGAGCGCAACCCUUUUCCUUAUUUGCCAGCGGGUUAAGCCGGGAACUUUAAGGAUACUGCCAGUGACAAACUGGAGGAAGGCGGGGACGACGUCAAGUCAUCAUGGCCCUUACGACCAGGGCUACACACGUGCUACAAUGGUAGGUACAGAGGGUUGCUACACAGCGAUGUGAUGCUAAUCUCAAAAAGCCUAUCGUAGUCCGGAUUGGAGUCUGCAACUCGACUCCAUGAAGUCGGAAUCGCUAGUAAUCGCAGAUCAGAAUGCUGCGGUGAAUACGUUCCCGGGCCUUGUACACACCGCCCGUCACACCAUGGGAGUCUAUUGCACCAGAAGUAGGUAGCCUAACGAAAGAGGGCGCUUACCACGGUGUGGUCGAUGACUGGGGUG